GACGAACGCUGGCGGCGUGCCUAAUACAUGCAAGUUGAGCGCUGAAGGUUGGUACUUGUACCAACUGGAUGAGCAGCGAACGGGUGAGUAACGCGUGGGGAAUCUGCCUUUGAGCGGGGGACAACAUUUGGAAACGAAUGCUAAUACCGCAUAAAAACUUUAAACACAAGUUUUAAGUUUGAAAGAUGCAAUUGCAUCACUCAAAGAUGAUCCCGCGUUGUAUUAGCUAGUUGGUUAGGUAAAGGCUCACCAAGGCGAUGAUACAUAGCCGACCUGAGAGGGUGAACGGCCACAAUGGGACUGAGACACGGCCCAAACUCCUACGGGAGGCAGCAGUAGGGGAUCUUCGGCAAUGGACGAAAGGCUGACCGAGCAACGCCGCGUGAGGGAAGAAGGGUUUCGGAUCGUAAAACUCUGUUGGUAGAGAAGAACGUUGGUGAGAGUGGAAAGCUCAUCAAGUGACGGUAACUACCCAGAAAGGGACGGCUAACUACGUG
rnacentral:rRNA from 1 species